GGUCAAGUGAAGAAGCGCAUACGGUGGAUGCCUUGGCAGUCAGAGGCGAUGAAAGACGUGGUAGCCUGCGAAAAGCUUCGGGGAGUCGGCAAACAGACUUUGAUCCGGAGAUCUCUGAAUGGGGGAACCCACCUAGGAUAACCUAGGUAUCUUGUACUGAAUCCAUAGGUGCAAGAGGCGAACCAGGGGAACUGAAACAUCUAAGUACCCUGAGGAAAAGAAAUCAACCGAGAUUCCCUUAGUAGUGGCGAGCGAACGGGGAUUAGCCCUUAAGCUUCAUUGAUUUUAGCGGAACGCUCUGGAAAGUGCGGCCAUAGUGGGUGAUAGCCCCGUACGCGAAAGGAUCUUUGAAGUGAAAUCGAGUAGGACGGAGCACGAGAAACUUUGUCUGAACAUGGGGGGACCAUCCUCCAAGGCUAAAUACUACUGACUGACCGAUAGUGAACCAGUACCGUGAGGGAAAGGCGAAAAGAACCCCGGAGAGGGGAGUGAAAUAGAACCUGAAACCGUAUGCGUACAAGCAGUGGGAGCCUACUUGUUAGGUGACUGCGUACCUUUUGUAUAAUGGGUCAGCGACUUAUAUUCAGUGGCAAGCUUAACCGUAUAGGGUAGGCGUAGCGAAAGCGAGUCUUAAUAGGGCGUUUAGUCGCUGGGUAUAGACCCGAAACCGGGCGAUCUAUCCAUGAGCAGGUUGAAGGUUAGGUAACACUGACUGGAGGACCGAACCCACUCCCGUUGAAAAGGUAGGGGAUGACUUGUGGAUCGGAGUGAAAGGCUAAUCAAGCUCGGAGAUAGCUGGUUCUCCUCGAAAGCUAUUUAGGUAGCGCCUCAUGUAUCACUCUGGGGGGUAGAGCACUGUUUCGGCUAGGGGGUCAUCCCGACUUACCAAACCGAUGCAAACUCCGAAUACCCAGAAGUGCCGAGCAUGGGAGACACACGGCGGGUGCUAACGUCCGUCGUGAAAAGGGAAACAACCCAGACCGCCAGCUAAGGUCCCAAAGUUGUGGUUAAGUGGUAAACGAUGUGGGAAGGCUUAGACAGCUAGGAGGUUGGCUUAGAAGCAGCCAUCCUUUAAAGAAAGCGUAAUAGCUCACUAGUCGAGUCGGCCUGCGCGGAAGAUGUAACGGGGCUCAAACCACACACCGAAGCUGCGGGUGUCACGUAAGUGACGCGGUAGAGGAGCGUUCUGUAAGCCUGUGAAGGUGAGUUGAGAAGCUUGCUGGAGGUAUCAGAAGUGCGAAUGCUGACAUGAGUAACGACAAUGGGUGUGAAAAACACCCACGCCGAAAGACCAAGGGUUCCUGCGCAACGUUAAUCGACGCAGGGUUAGUCGGUUCCUAAGGCGAGGCUGAAAAGCGUAGUCGAUGGGAAACAGGUUAAUAUUCCUGUACUUCUGGUUACUGCGAUGGAGGGACGGAGAAGGCUAGGCCAGCUUGGCGUUGGUUGUCCAAGUUUAAGGUGGUAGGCUGAAAUCUUAGGUAAAUCCGGGGUUUCAAGGCCGAGAGCUGAUGACGAGUCGUCUUUUAGAUGACGAAGUGGUUGAUGCCAUGCUUCCAAGAAAAGCUUCUAAGCUUCAGGUAACCAGGAACCGUACCCCAAACCGACACAGGUGGUCGGGUAGAGAAUACCAAGGCGCUUGAGAGAACUCGGGUGAAGGAACUAGGCAAAAUGGCACCGUAACUUCGGGAGAAGGUGCGCCGGCUAGGGUGAAGGAUUUACUCCGUAAGCUCUGGCUGGUCGAAGAUACCAGGCCGCUGCGACUGUUUAUUAAAAACACAGCACUCUGCAAACACGAAAGUGGACGUAUAGGGUGUGACGCCUGCCCGGUGCCGGAAGGUUAAUUGAUGGGGUUAGCGCAAGCGAAGCUCUUGAUCGAAGCCCCGGUAAACGGCGGCCGUAACUAUAACGGUCCUAAGGUAGCGAAAUUCCUUGUCGGGUAAGUUCCGACCUGCACGAAUGGCGUAACGAUGGCGGCGCUGUCUCCACCCGAGACUCAGUGAAAUUGAAAUCGCUGUGAAGAUGCAGUGUAUCCGCGGCUAGACGGAAAGACCCCGUGAACCUUUACUGUAGCUUUGCACUGGACUUUGAGCCUGCUUGUGUAGGAUAGGUGGGAGGCUUUGAAGCGUGGACGCCAGUUCGCGUGGAGCCAUCCUUGAAAUACCACCCUGGCAUGCUUGAGGUUCUAACUCUGGUCCGUGAUCCGGAUCGAGGACAGUGUAUGGUGGGCAGUUUGACUGGGGCGGUCUCCUCCUAAAGAGUAACGGAGGAGUACGAAGGUGCGCUC
rnacentral:rRNA from 1 species